rnacentral:misc_RNA from 1 species
ACGGGAAAUUGUCCGUGACAUGAAAGAGAAGCUUGCUUAUGUUGCACUCGACUAUGAGCAGGAACUGGAGACUGCUAAGAGUAGCUCCUCAAUUGAGAAGAACUAUGAACUGCCCGAUGGACAAGUCAUCACAAUUGGAGCUGAGAGAUUCCGUUGCCCCGAAGUUCUUUUCCAGCCAUCCCUCAUUGGAAUGGAAGCUGCUGGAAUCCACGAGACUACCUACAACUCAAUUAUGAAGUGUGAUGUGGAUAUCAGAAAAGAUUUGUAUGGAAACAUUGUUCUCAGUGGUGGUUCUACCAUGUUCCCUGGUAUCGCUGACCGUAUGAGCAAAGAGAUCACAGCUCUUGCUCCCAGCAGCAUGAAAAUCAAGGUCGUUGCACCACCAGAAAGGAAAUACAGUGUCUGGAUUGGA